UGAAGUCAUUGAUGCCAUGCUUCCAGGAAAAGCCUCUAAGCUUCAGAUAGUCAGGAAUCGUACCCCAAACCGACACAGGUGGUCGGGUAGAGAAUACCAAGGCGCUUGAGAGAACUCGGGUGAAGGAACUAGGCAAAAUGGUACCGUAACUUCGGGAGAAGGUACGCUCUUGAUGGUGAAGUCCCUCGCGGAUGGAGCUGACGAGAGUCGCAGAUACCAGGUGGCUGCAACUGUUUAUUAAAAACACAGCACUGUGCAAAAUCGCAAGAUGACGUAUACGGUGUGACGCCUGCCCGGUGCCGGAAGGUUAAUUGAUGGGGUUAGCGCAAGCGAAGCUCUUGAUCGAAGCCCCGGUAAACGGCGGCCGUAACUAUAACGGUCCUAAGGUAGCGAAAUUCCUUGUCGGGUAAGUUCCGACCUGCACGAAUGGCGUAAUGAUGGCCACGCUGUCUCCACCCGAGACUCAGUGAAAUUGAAAUCGCUGUGAAGAUGCAGUGUACCCGCGGCUAGACGGAAAGACCCCGUGAACCUUUACUACAGCUUGGCACUGAACAUUGAACCUACAUGUGUAGGAUAGGUGGGAGGCUAUGAAGACGUGACGCCAGUUGCGUUGGAGCCGUCCUUGAAAUACCACCCUUGUAUGUUUGAUGUUCUAACUUAGACCCAUUAUCUGGGUUGAGGACAGUGCCUGGUGGGUAGUUUGACUGGGGCGGUCUCCUCCCAAAGAGUAACGGAGGAGCACGAAGGUGGGCUAAUCACGGUUGGACAUCGUGAGGUUAGUGCAAUGGCAUAAGCCGCUUAACUGCGAGAAUGACGGUUCGAGCAGGUGCGAAAGCAGGUCAUAGUGAUCCGGUGGUUCUGUAUGGAAGGGCCAUCGCUCAACGGAUAAAAGGUACUCCGGGGAUAACAGGCUGAUACCGCCCAAGAGUUCAUAUCGACGGCGGUGUUUGGCACCUCGAUGUCGGCUCAUCACAUCCUGGGGCUGAAGUCGGUCCCAAGGGUAUGGCUGUUCGCCAUUUAAAGUGGUACGCGAGCUGGGUUUAGAACGUCGUGAGACAGUUCGGUCCCUAUCUGCCGUGGGCGUUGGAAGAUUGAAGGGGGCUGCUCCUAGUACGAGAGGACCGGAGUGGACGAACCUCUGGUGUUCGGGUUGUGUCGCCAGACGCAUUGCCCGGUAGCUAAGUUCGGAAUUGAUAAGCGCUGAAAGCAUCUAAGCGCGAAGCGAGCCCUGAGAUGAGUCUUCCCUGACAGUUUAACUGUCCUAAAGGGUUGUUCGAGACUAGAACGUUGAUAGGCAGGGUGUGUAAGCGUUGUGAGGCGUUGAGCUAACCUGUACUAAUUGCCCGUGAGGCUUAACCAUACAACACCCAAGGGGUUUUGUA
rnacentral:rRNA from 1 species